GGAUCAGAAUAUAAAAAUGAAUUGCAGUUUGCAGGCCCAGGGAAAAGCUUCCACUGUCUUCCAGGCUCUCAGAGCCAGCUGUGAAUUGAAUGGUGGUGGCAUCUCCAGUUGUGUAAAAGAAAACUAACGUCAGUUUCCGAGCUUCAGGAUGUUCAUCAGCCAAGAUUUCAAGUUAGCAAAUGGCAAGAUCUGAUCCACCUGAUGCAGACUAGGGCUGUCUCCAGUAUUGUUUCAAGCCAGAGCCAUGUGGAUGGGGCUGAACCGCCAAGAGAUAAGGAGACUUCUUUCAGAUAGAAUGAGGACUCCAGCCAUAUCAAAGCCGAGGGGUCAAGGAACCAAUGUGAGGAUUCUCUUUUCUGCUCUGGACAUCCAUUCUAGUCUACUUGGAGCUGGGCAAAUGAGUUCCAGGUGGGUCAACAGGCCCAGUGGGACCAAUGUGAGAUUAAUGUGGGCAAGCAAACACAAAAUGCACCUUCUUGAAAGAUCUCCAAGGGCUGGAUUGGAGGUAUGGCUCUCACAUAUACACGCAAAACGUUGUUGCUACUUCCGGGAUGAAAAAACGAAGAAAUGGACACACUACAUUGGUCUUAAGCCACAGCCUCUCUGCAGCCACAGCCUUCGUAGCAACCUUCUUAGGCCCCACCGGCUCCAUGACCCAAAGCGCCAGGAGAGGCACAACCAGCACCUCACAAAAUCAUUCCCCUCUUCUAGGCCUCACACUCUCAAUAUGCUGUCAGUCUGCAAUCUCUAAUCCAUCAACAUACCUGUGGUUGUUCUACAAAGUAUAGAUAGAACCCCAACACUCAGGUCCAUCCCUCCAUCUCUCCUACAAGGGGGUUACUGCUGCCUCCUUGGCCCACUAUAUGUCAAUCUCUCCAGGUAGGACCUGUGAAUUCUUAGAGAUGAAUUCUUUUAAAACCCAAGUCAGGUCAUCUUUCUUCUGCUCAAAGUCCUCCUGUCACUCACAUCUCAAUCCCACCCAAAUCCAAAGUUUUUACUACAGCCCACAAAGUCUUACCAUAGUGCUGCUCAAAGUGCUGGUGUCAAAAAACAAGGAGUCUUCACAAGAAGGUCAAGCAUCUCAGUGCCUUCGUCAAGAAAGUCUUGCAGUGAAGAAAGUGUCGGCUGAAAUAAACAGGACACUUAGGGAUGUGGUUGGUCUACUCUCUGUCCCAGUCUCUUUAGCUCCUUGCAGAUGGCCCUUUGCAUAUCACUGGAUGUGAUAGGCAGGACCUAAACAAACUGGUCCCUGCCCACACUUCUAAUGUCUUUCUCCUCAUUCCAUCUGUUGUGGCCACUUCCUGAACUCUCAACAUGGCAAACACCCUCCUGCCCCAGGGCCUUGCACUGGCUGCUUCCUCUUCCUGGACUAAUCUUUCUGCAGAGACCCAGGUGACCCCUUCCUCCCUCUUCUCACUCAAAUGUCACACUGUUAAGGAGGAUUUCUCAGACCAUCUUAUGUAAAAUAGAAAGAUGCCUUCCAACCCACACACUCCCUAUCUUUUUCAUUCUACUUUGUUGUCCUGUAGUGGACUUACCACCAGUUGAAAUACUGUUUGUUUAUUGCUGGGUUGCCGCUCUCUCUCCACCAGCAUAUCAGCUCCGGGAGGCCCGGGGCUGCCAGGUUCACUUCUGUGUCCCCACUGCCACUGUCGGCCUGUGCAGAAUGUGCGCUCAUUGUUCAAAAGGGAACUCACUCACCUGUGAAUAGUUGCACACUGGGAAGUAAGUACAUUCCCUUCAGUUUAACUGACUGUAAAAUGAGAAUAAUUCCAGCUCUGUCAACAUGUAGGAAUCAUGUAAGAAUGAGCUUCCUUCCUGGUAUCCAUUGCUAUGUAACAAAAGACCCCAAACUUAAAAUUGCUGCAUGUCUGACAUGAUGAGAAACCUGAAAAUGACAAACUCCAAUCAUGGUACGUGGUCAGUUUUUGCACAAGGUACGGAAGACCCAAAAUCUGUGAAGUUCUCUGGGGAAGGGAUGCUGGGGACACUUUGGAGGGUCUGCCCUUCUGACCUUUUAUGCCUUCUCUUCACUGCGUCUCUGGAAUGACCCUGGGAGACCCACUCUGUUCUCAGAGUGAGAACAGGCUCUGACUGGGGCUGUCACUUCACAAGGCACAGACCUCGGUGGGGCUAUUCUGUCAUCUCUGUACUUACCUACACACGCUCCGUGGAUUAGGCCAUGGAUCAGUGUUGCUUCUUUUACUGAACACCGUGACUCUGUGAUACACGCAAGGGGGCACGUGUGGUCUUCUUCCUCUCGUUGCCAUUGCUACAAGAUUUUCCACUUCCUCAUGAAAAGGCACAUUUAUUAAAGGCAGGAUCAUUGUCUAUGGAACGUGAUCUUGAUGUUUUGAAAAGCAAAGUUCAAAGUUCAAAAGGCAAUGUCUAUACAGUUAAUAAGGAGACACGAUCAUUUCAUUUUUUAUAAGCACAAGCUCAUUACUUUUAGAAAACUGGGUAUUGAAUUUUUAAAUGGACAUGAUUAUUUUAUUAUUUGGAAACAAACAAUACAAUCUUAUUUUAAUAGAUGAUUAUUAAUUAUAAAGGACAAAGGUGACCUGGCCGAGUGGCUCAGAUUUUUGGAGCAUCGUCCCAUACACCAAAAGUUGGAGGGUUCAAUUCCCAGUCAGGGCACAUACCUAGGUUGUAGGUUUGGUCCUUGUUUGGGGCAUGUACAAGAGGAAACCAAUUGAUGCUUUUCUCUCAUGUUGAUGUUUCUCUGUUUCUCUCUUCCUUCCUGUCUCUGUAAAACCAACAAACAUAUACUCAGGUGAACAUUUUUAAAAAAGGUAAAAGUGUCAUUUAUAGAAAUGGGUCAUUGUAUUUUUGUAAAAAUAUUUUUAUUAAAGAUAAGGCAAUUAUGUUUAAAGCCAAGGUGAUUAUAAAACAAAACCAUGAAUGUUACUUUAUAAGCUAGUUUAUUUAGUAAGUAUGUAAAAGUUCAUAGCACCUACACAUGAAUAAACAAAACAUAACCAAGCUAAGACCUGAGUGACUGCCCAGUCAGGAGACGGUGGGCUGCCAGCACUCAGCAGCCCCUCUGUGCACAGUCCUGGCCACACGCUCCCCCCUAGAACCCAGAAGUGACAAUUCUGUGAAUUUAUGGUCAUUUCCCUUUUUUAUAUACUGCAGAAUUUCCAGCUACACUAAAUCUAGUGAUUGGGGUUUAGAGUUUGUCUUCUCAACUCCUAAUAAUGCAUAUCAUACUCCAGGUGCCAACUUAUCUCAAAUCUUUUACUCUCUAUUAAGUUGUAAACAUCAAGCUCAUUGCAGUAAAGC